rnacentral:rRNA from 1 species
UCGGGAAUUUUGCGCAAUGGGCGAAAGCCUGACGCAGCAACGCCGCGUGAGGGAUGAAGGCCUUCGGGUUGUAAACCUCUUUUCUCAGGGAAGAUAAUGACGGUACCUGAGGAAGAAGCCACGGCUAACUACGUGCCAGCAGCCGCGGUAAUACGUAGGUGGCAAGCGUUGUCCGGAUUUACUGGGCGUAAAGAGCGCGCAGGCGGUCGUGCAAGUCGCGUGUGAAAGCCCCCGGCUCAACUGGGGAGGGUCACGCGAUACUGCUCGACUCGAAGGCAGGAGAGGGAAGUGGAAUUCCCGGUGUAGUGGUGAAAUGCGUAGAUAUCGGGAGGAACACCAGUGGCGAAGGCGACUUCCUGGCCUGUUCUUGACGCUGAGGCGCGAAAGCUAGGGUAGCAAACGGGAUUAGAUACCCCCGUAGUCC